CUUCCUUUCUCAGCAACAGAUACACACAUCGGCAGGAUACGACGCACCUCACCUAUCCCUCUGUAAUGGUUAUAGACAGAGCUGAAGAUGAUGCACUUGGACUGACCUUUAGAAAGCCAAAUACAGUGUUCAAUUUCUCUGCUGCCUCAGAAAGGUCAUUAUUAACUGUGCCUGAACUCCUUACUCUACUGGUCACACAGGACUGGCUGAUCCCCUGACAAAUCAUACGUGUACGAA
rnacentral:lncRNA from 1 species